UACAGAGGGUGCAAACGUUGCUCGGAAUUAUUGGGCGUAAAGCGCACGUAGGUGGCCAUGUAAGUCAGGAGUGAAAGCCCUCGGCUUAACCGGGGAAGUGCUUUUGAAACUGCAUGGCUUGAGUACUGGAGAGGGUCGCGGAAUUCCCGGUGUAGAGGUGAAAUUCGUAGAUAUCGGGAGGAACACCGGUGGCGAAGGCGGCGACCUGGGUAGAUACUGACGCUGAGGUGCGAAAGCGUGGGGAGCAAACAGG
rnacentral:rRNA from 1 species